rnacentral:rRNA from 1 species
UACAGGGGGGGCAAGCGUUGUUCGGAAUUACUGGGCGUAAAGGGCUCGUAGGCGGCCAACUAAGUCACACGUGAAAUCCCCAGGCUUAACCUGGGAACUGCGUGUGAUACUGGAUGGCUUGAAUCCGGGAGAGGGAUGCGGAAUUCCAGGUGUAGCGGUGAAAUGCGUAGAUAUCUGGAGGAACACCGAUGGCGAAGGCAGCCCCCUGGGUCAAGAUUGACGCUCAUGCACGAAAGCGUGGGGAGCAAACAGG